rnacentral:rRNA from 1 species
CCUACGGGAGGCUGCAGUGGGGAAUAUUGGACAAUGGGGGCAACCCUGAUCCAGCCAUGCCGCGUGUGUGAAGAAGGCCCUCGGGUUGUAAAGCACUUUCAGUGAGGAAGAACGCCUGGUGGUUAAUACCCAUCAGGAAAGACAUCACUCACAGAAGAAGCACCGGCUAACUCCGUGCCAGCAGCCGCGGUAAUACGGAGGGUGCGAGCGUUAAUCGGAAUUACUGGGCGUAAAGCGCGCGUAGGUGGCUUGAUAAGCCGGUUGUGAAAGCCCCGGGCUCAACCUGGGAACGGCAUCCGGAACUGUCAAGCUAGAGUGCAGGAGAGGAAGGUAGAAUUCCCGGUGUAGCGGUGAAAUGCGUAGAGAUCGGGAGGAAUACCAGUGGCGAAGGCGGCCUUCCGGACUGACACUGACACUGAGGUGCGAAAGCGUGGGUAGCAAACAGGAUUAGAUACCCUUGUAGUC